rnacentral:rRNA from 1 species
GAUGAACGCUAGCUACAGGCUUAACACAUGCAAGUCGAGGGGCAGCAUGGUCUUAGCUUGCUAAGGCCGAUGGCGACCGGCGCACGGGUGAGUAACACGUAUCCAACCUGCCGUCUACUCUUGGACAGCCUUCUGAAAGGAAGAUUAAUACAAGAUGGCAUCAUGAGUCCGCAUGCUCACAUGAUUAAAGGUAUUCCGGUAGACGAUGGGGAUGCGUUCCAUUAGAUAGUAGGCGGGGUAACGGCCCACCUAGUCUUCGAUGGAUAGGGGUUCUGAGAGGAAGGUCCCCCACAUUGGAACUGAGACACGGUCCAAACUCCUACGGGAGGCAGCAGUGAGGAAUAUUGGUCAAUGGGCGAGAGCCUGAACCAGCCAAGUAGCGUGAAGGAUGACUGCCCUAUGGGUUGUAAACUUCUUUUAUAAAGGAAUAAAGUCGGGUAUGCAUACCCGUUUGCAUGUACUUUAUGAAUAAGGAUCGGCUAACUCCGUGCCAGCAGCCGCGGUAAUACGGAGGAUCCGAGCGUUAUCCGGAUUUAUUGGGUUUAAAGGGAGCGUAGAUGGAUGUUUAAGUCAGUUGUGAAAGUUUGCGGCUCAACCGUAAAAUUGCAGUUGAUACUGGAUAUCUUGAGUGCAGUUGAGGCAGGCGGAAUUCGUGGUGUAGCGGUGAAAUGCUUAGAUAUCACGAAGAACUCCGAUUGCGAAGGCAGCCUGCUAAGCUGCAACUGACAUUGAGGCUCGAAAGUGUGGGUAUCAAACAGGAUUAGAUACCCUGGUAGUCCACACGGUAAACGAUGAAUACUCGCUGUUUGCGAUAUACAGCAAGCGGCCAAGCGAAAGCGUUAAGUAUUCCACCUGGGGAGUACGCCGGCAACGGUGAAACUCAAAGGAAUUGACGGGGGCCCGCACAAGCGGAGGAACAUGUGGUUUAAUUCGAUGAUACGCGAGGAACCUUACCCGGGCUUAAAUUGCAGAUGAAUUACGGUGAAAGCCGUAAGCCGCAAGGCAUCUGUGAAGGUGCUGCAUGGUUGUCGUCAGCUCGUGCCGUGAGGUGUCGGCUUAAGUGCCAUAACGAGCGCAACCCUUGUUGUCAGUUACUAACAGGUUCCGCUGAGGACUCUGACAAGACUGCCAUCGUAAGAUGUGAGGAAGGUGGGGAUGACGUCAAAUCAGCACGGCCCUUACGUCCGGGGCUACACACGUGUUACAAUGGGGGGUACAGAGGGCCGCUACCACGCGAGUGGAUGCCAAUCCCAAAAACCUCUCUCAGUUCGGACUGGAGUCUGCAACCCGACUCCACGAAGCUGGAUUCGCUAGUAAUCGCGCAUCAGCCACGGCGCGGUGAAUACGUUCCCGGGCCU